rnacentral:lncRNA from 1 species
AGGGGAGGGGAGGGUCCCGCGCGGCCUCCGCAGCCGGCCGCCGGCAGCCUGACCGCGGGAUACAAGGGCCUAUUGACCCGCCGGCAGUCUGGGCGCUUGGAGGCCACGAAGGUACAAAGCGGCUUACCCUGCCCCCUGUGCCAGCUGCUACGACGCCGACGUUCGUAACCGCCUUCAACCCAGAGGCAGUUUCGUCCCGGGCUGCAGUAAAAGCAGCAGCGGCGGGAGCCGGGGAGGCCGCUGUCGCCGCCGCGCGCCCGUCCGACCCCCGCCCGAGCCGGCUCAGCUCCGAGCUCCGAGCGUCAGGCACGGCCGGGCGGGCCCAGGGCGGACGCGCUCCGACUCCCGCUUGGGGCUGGCGGCUGGCGGCUGGCGGCUGGNNNNNNNNNNNNNNNNNNNNNNNNNNNNNNNNNNNNNNNNNNNNNNNNNNNGGGGGGCGGGGGGGGGCGCCCUGGGAGCCAGGCAGGUCUGCGGAGAGGCUGGAGCGCCCCCGCCUUCCCGGCCCCACCCCCUCCCCGGAGACUGGAGGAGGCCCUGGGCUUCCAAGCAUUUCUUACUGGCUAUUUGGAAGCUCCUCAGAGCUGACUCCAAAGCAUCCAGAGGGCUGUGCCAGCGAUUCUGCGGAGGCCACGAGAGCCCCAGCGCGGCCGCCCAGGGCUCCCGAGGGGUCCCCGCACCCCCCUGGACGGCAUCCUGUGGCCUGGCCCUCCCCUGUCUCAGAUGCUGCGUGGCUUCCUGGAGGCUUCUGGGGGAUAUGGAAACUGUGUACUCGAAGAAAAAUCCGUACGGGAAAAUCCAAGUCAAACGAAGAAAACAGCACCACCUGUCACCUAGGAAACCGGUUCACACUGGCUGAUAUUGAAGAGGGCACCCUUUCUCAUUACAAAUUUGCACUUGCAGCUGGGCUCCCGGUGACCUUGCCCAGGGCCUGAAAGCUAAUCCGAUGAGCAUGAAUGAAGGUGCUGGGGUCCUGCACCCCCCACCUGACAUCCUGAGGACUGAGCCCCUGGGCCCCAGCAGAUCUGCCUCUGCUGCCCCUCCGGAGCCUGCGGAAGCUGUUAAACAUGCCCAUUUCUUUAAGAAGGAGGCUGCAAAGUGUUUUGUUUGGAAAAUGGUUUCAAAAUAAUAAUAAUGCUCUCUGAGUUGUAACUCGGCAAGGCCGGGUGGUUUCGAACCUUGACCAUCGUUGUUUUUCACCAAGUUCCCAGAGCCUGCAGGUUAGCAUUGCACUUGAGGCCUUGAGAGGAGGACAAAGGCCUUAGAUUCCCAGUUUAGGCUUAAUUUAAAAGGGGGGGGAGGGGGCGGUGUGCCCGGACAAAAGGAAUCCCGUGGCACUUGUCAGCGGGCUAAGUCUUUAUUCUGAAGCUUUGGCAACCGUGGCUCCUUUCUCUGCCCCGCGUGUGCCAGUUGGCUCAGGGACUUCUGUCAAGAGAGUCUGUGCGCCAGCUGUAUGCAAAGUGCGGGCGGGCGGCGCUGCGGAGAGAGGCAGCUGCGUGUGUUCUUUCUCUGCCACUGGUUUCUCCCCAGCCCUCCUCCUGCUCCCUUUUGUGUAAUAACAACAGCUGACCAACACCUUUAGCCACGGGUCCCAUCCUAAGCACAUCAUAUGUAUGAAAUGAUUUCAUUCUUACAACAGCCUGCGAGCUGGGCACCUUUGUAUUCGGAUUUCAGACAUGGGGCUCACAGACACACAGGUCUUGGCGUUUUUGGGGCAGGCGCUGGCUCUGAGACCCUCAGCGCUGUGCCUCCCAACCCCACUCACUUGCAGCUGGUGUGAGAGGUUCCGCCCAGGACUUGGACGGGAGUGCGAG